rnacentral:tRNA from 2 species
CCCUUCGUCUAGAGGCCUAGGACACCGCCCUUUCACGGCGGUAACAGGGGUUCGAAUCCCCUAGGGGACGCCA